AUUCAGCUGACGAGUCCCAAAACAGAACGAAAUGCACUUCCUGGAU
rnacentral:hammerhead_ribozyme from 1 species